UACGGAGGGAGCUAGCGUUGUUCGGAAUUAUUGGGCGUAAAGAGCUCGUAGGCGGUUUGUCGCGUCUGCCGUGAAAGUCCGGGGCUCAACUCCGGAUCUGCGGUGGGUACGGGCAGACUAGAGUGAUGUAGGGGGAGACUGGAAUUCCUGGUGUACGCGGUGGAAUGCGCAGAUAUCAGGAGGAACACCGAUGGCGAAGGCAGCUCGCUGGGACGGUACUGACGCUGAGGCGCGAAAGCGUGGGGAGCGAACAGG
rnacentral:rRNA from 1 species